rnacentral:rRNA from 1 species
CAGUUAUAAUCUAUUUGAUUGUCUUCCCCAUUGGAUAACCGUGGGAAAUCUAGAGCUAAUACAUGCAGUUAAUUGAAAGGGGUCAAAGCCUUUCAAAGCAUUUAUUGGAUCAAUACCAACUAUAGUAGUGCGGGCAACUGUGCUACUAUAAGGUGAAUCUAGAUAACUUUGCUGAUCGUAUGGCCUUGUGCCGGCGACAUUUCAAUUGAAUUUCUGCCCUAUCAACUUGUUGGUAAGGUAGUGGCUUACCAAGGUUACAACGGGUAACGGGGAAUCAGGGUUCGAUUCCGGAGAGGGAGCCUGAGAAAUGGCUACCACAUCCAAGGGAGGCAGCAGGCGCGCAAAUUACCCAAUCCAGAUUCUGGGAGGUGGUGACGAGAAAUACUAGAUGGCUUCCUAAACGGAUGUCAUACUGGAAUGGACGUAAUUUAAGAAAUUCGAUGAGUAACAACUGGAGGGCAAGUCUGGUGCCAGCAGCCGCGGUAAUUCCAGCUCCAGUAGUGUAUCUUAAAGUUGCUGCGUUUAAAACGCUCGUAGUUGGAUUACGCAGCAUAGAUUAGUCGAUUGGCAUGAUAUUGCACUCAAUCCAGCUGGUCUUAUUUUUGCCUAUGGUAUAUCCUAGGUAAAGGUCUGAUUAGUUGGAGCGGUACGUGUCGAUUAACAGCUAGUUUAUGCUACUUUUUCGUGAGGAUGGCAGUUGACCUUUAAUGCGUUGAUUGUUGUGUCUCACGAAGUGUGCCUUGAAUAAAUCAGAGUGCUCAAAGCAGGCUUUAGCUUGAAUGUUGAUAGCAUGGAACGAACAAUUGUGAUCUAGUGCUUUAAGAGACCAUUUGAGUGGGUUUAUAUUCGCUCAGAUGUGUAGCUUGAAACACAGCACCAACCGCCAUUUACGGAUGUUGGUUUCCGUGAUGGGGUGAUGAUUAAAAGGAGCGGUUGGGGGCAUUGGUAUUUUGCCGCGAGAGGUGAAAUUCUUGGACCGGCAAAGGACUAACAAAUGCGAAGGCAUCUGUCAAGACCGUUUCCAUUAAUCAAGAACGAUAGUGAGAGGUUCGAAGACGAUCAGAUACCGUCCUAGUUCUCASUGUAAACUAUGCCGACCCGGGAUCAGUUUCGAGCUUGAAAUGCUCGUGGUUGGUCCCCCUGGGAAACCUCAAGUUUUUAGGUUACGGGGGGAGUAUGGUUGCAAGGCUGAAACUUAAAGGAAUUGACGGAAGGGCACCACCAGGGGUGGAGCCUGCGGCUUAAUUUGACUCAACACGGGAAAACUCACCUGGUCCGGACAUCGAAAGGAUAGACAGACUGAUAGAUCUUUCUUGAUACGGUGGUUGGUGGUGCAUGGCCGUUCUUAGUUCGUGGAGUGAUCUGUCAGGUUGAUUCCGGUAACGGACGAGACCAUGGUUUUCAUUUAUGGUACUGGGGAAGGCUAUGAUGAAGCUGGCAACAGUGGAGUCAUAGCUGCUGGUAGAAUAUGCUUUUGUUGCUUCUAGUUUUAUGUGACGCUUGACCUAUGUCUUGUGAAGCUUGGAAUUAGUUGUGAUUAUAGGGU